GGCCUUCGGGCCUUGGUAGCGCAGCUAACGCGUGAAGUUGACCGCCUGGGGAGUACGGUCGCAAGAUUAAAACUCAAAGGAAUUGACGGGGACCCGCACAAGCGGUGGAUGAUGUGGAUUAAUUCGAUGCAACGCGAAAAACCUUACCUACCCUUGACAUGUCUGGAAUGCCGAAGAGAUUUGGCAGUGCUCGCAAGAGAACCGGAACACAGGUGCUGCAUGGCUGUCGUCAGCUCGUGUCGUGAGAUGUUGGGUUAAGUCCCGCAACGAGCGCAACCCUUGUCAUUAGUUGCUACGAAAGGGCACUCUAAUGAGACUGCCGGUGACAAACCGGAGGAAGGUGGGGAUGACGUCAAGUCCUCAUGGCCCUUAUGGGUAGGGCUUCACACGUCAUACAAUGGUCGGGACAGAGGGUCGCCAACCCGCGAGGGGGAGCCAAUCCCAGAAACCCGAUCGUAGUCCGGAUCGCAGUCUGCAACUCGACUGCGUGAAGUCGGAAUCGCUAGU
rnacentral:rRNA from 1 species